AGUGAACGCUGGCGGUAGGCCUAACACAUGCAAGUCGAACGGCAGCACAGUAAGAGCUUGCUCUUACGGGUGGCGAGUGGCGGACGGGUGAGGAAUACAUCGGAAUCUACUUUUUCGUGGGGGAUAACGUAGGGAAACUUACGCUAAUACCGCAUACGACCUACGGGUGAAAGCAGGGGAUCUUCGGACCUUGCGCGAUUGAAUGAGCCGAUGUCGGAUUAGCUAGUUGGCGGGGUAAAGGCCCACCAAGGCGACGAUCCGUAGCUGGUCUGAGAGGAUGAUCAGCCACACUGGAGCUGAGACACGGUCCAGACUCCUACGGAAGGCAGCAGUGGGGAAUAGUGGACGAUGGGCGCAAGCCUGAUCCAGCCAUACCGCGUGGGUGAAGAAGGCCUUCGGGUUGUAAAGCCCUUUUGUUGGGAAAGAAAAGCAGCAGGUUAAUACCCCGCUGUUCUGACGGUACCCAAAGAAUAAGCACCGGCUAACUUCGUG
rnacentral:rRNA from 1 species